rnacentral:rRNA from 1 species
CAACCUGCCGUCUACUCUUGGACAGCCUUCUGAAAGGAAGAUUAAUACAAGAUGGCAUCAUGAGUCCGCAUGUUCACAUGAUUAAAGGUAUUCCGGUAGACGAUGGGGAUGCGUUCCAUUAGAUAGUAGGCGGGGUAACGGCCCACCUAGUCUUCGAUGGAUAGGGAUUCUGAGAGGAAGGUCCCCCACAUUGGAACUGAGACACGGUCCAAACUCCUACGGGAGGCAGCAGUGAGGAAUAUUGGUCAAUGGGCGAGAGCCUGAACCAGCCAAGUAGCGUGAAGGAUGACUGCCCUAUGGGUUGUAAACUUCUUUUAUAAAGGAAUAAAGUCGGGUAUGGAUACCCGUUUGCAUGUACUUUAUGAAUAAGGAUCGGCUAACUCCGUGCCAGCAGCCGCGGUAAUACGGAGGAUCCGAGCGUUAUCCGGAUUUAUUGGGUUUAAAGGGAGCGUAGAUGGAUGUUUAAGUCAGUUGUGAAAGUUUGCGGCUCAACCGUAAAAUUGCAGUUGAUACUGGAUAUCUUGAGUGCAGUUGAGGCAGGCGGAAUUCGUGGUGUAGCGGUGAACUGCUUAGAUAUCACGAAGAACUCCGAUUG